rnacentral:lncRNA from 1 species
UUGAAUGAGUAGAGCAUCUCUCACAAGGGACAGAAACCGACCUAAAAAUCCCAACGCAACAUAGAGGAUCAAUAAUACGUGUUAUCCACUACUAUAUAUCCUCCCAAACAAAACCUGUGGAACUAAACCCUUUUCCCUUUUUUUGCCUUACCAGGUGUCAAACUAGACUUACCUUAAUAUCUCUCCAGAAUCUUGGGCUGCCCAAUUGAUCAUCACCUCUUUGGGUUCUCCACUUUUCUACCCAAUCAAGACUCAAGAGACCCCUUAUGCUUGAAUUGACCACAACAAC